rnacentral:rRNA from 1 species
CACGUAGGGUGCGAGCGUUGUCCGGAAUUAUUGGGCGUAAAGAGCUCGUAGGCGGUUUGUCGCGUCUGCUGUGAAAACGCGAGGCUCAACCUCGCGCCUGCAGUGGGUACGGGCAGACUAGAGUGCGGUAGGGGAGAUUGGAAUUCCCGGUGUAGCGGUGAAAUGCGCAGAUAUCGGGAAGAACACCCGUGGCGAAGGCGGUUCUCUGGGACGGUACUGACGCUGAGACGCGAAAGCGUGGGGAGCGAACAGG